AUACUUACUGGCAGGGGAGAUACAUGAUCCGGCAGGUGGUUUCCCAGGGGAGCUUAUAUAUUGCACUCCGGAUGUGCUGGACCCCUGCGAUUUCCCAGAUAUGUGGGAACUUGACUGCAUAAGUUUGUGGUAGUGGGGGACUGCGUUCGACACUCUCCCA
rnacentral:snRNA from 1 species